rnacentral:rRNA from 1 species
UACGAAGGGGGCUAGCGUUGCUCGGAAUCACUGGGCGUAAAGGGUGCGUAGGCGGGUCUUUAAGUCAGGGGUGAAAUCCUGGAGCUCAACUCCAGAACUGCCUUUGAUACUGAAGAUCUUGAGUUCGGGAGAGGUGAGUGGAACUGCGAGUGUAGAGGUGAAAUUCGUAGAUAUUCGCAAGAACACCAGUGGCGAAGGCGGCUCACUGGCCCGAUACUGACGCUGAGGCACAAAAGCGUGGGGAGCAAACAGG